rnacentral:rRNA from 1 species
UGGGGAAUAUUGCACAAUGGAGGGAACUCUGAUGCAGCGACGCCGCGUGAGUGAUGAAGGAAUUCGUUUCGUAAAACUCUGUUCUAUGGGAAGAAAAGGACUGUACCAUAGGAGAAAGCUCCGGCUAAAUACGUGCCAGCAGCCGCGGUAAUACGUAUGGAGCGAGCGUUGUCCGGAAUUAUUGGGCGUAAAGGGUGCGCAGGCGGCUUUACAAGUUGGAUGUGAAAUAUUGUGGCUCAACCACAAACGUGCAUCCAAAACUGCAAAGCUUGAGUUAAGGAGAGGUAAGUGGAAUUCCUGGUGUAGCGGUGGAAUGCGUAGAUAUCAGGAGGAAUACCGGUGGCGAAGGCGACUUACUGGACUUAAACUGACGCUCAGGCACGAAAGCGUGAGGAGCAAACAGG